rnacentral:rRNA from 1 species
GAGUUUGAUCCUGGCUCAGAACGAACGCUGGCGGCGUGCCUAACACAUGCAAGUCGAACGAGAAUCCGGAUUUCGGUCCGGUAGUAAAGUGGCGCACGGGUGAGUAACACGUGGGUAACGUGCAUUAUAGUGGGGGAUAACCAGGUGAAAGCUUGGCUAAUACCGCAUGAGUCCGUCGGGACGCAGGUCCUGCUGGGGAAAGUGGAGCAAUCCACGCUAUAAGAUCGGCCCGCGGCCCAUUAGCUAGUUGGUGAGGUAACGGCUCACCAAGGCUACGAUGGGUAGCUGGUCUGAGAGGAUGAUCAGCCACACUGGAACUGAGACACGUCC